rnacentral:rRNA from 1 species
UACAGAGGGGGCAAGCGUUAUUCGGAAUUACUGGGCGUAAAGCGUGCGUAGGUGGUUCGUUAAGUCUGAUGUGAAAGCCCUGGGCUCAACCUGGGAAUGGCAUUGGAAACUGGCGACCUAGAGUGCGGUAGAGGGUAGUGGAAUUCCCGGUGUAGCAGUGAAAUGCGUAGAGAUCGGGAGGAACAUCUGUGGCGAAGGCGACUGCCUGGACCAGCACUGACACUGAGGCACGAAAGCGUGGGGAGCGAACAGG